rnacentral:tRNA from 1 species
GGGAUUGUGGCUCAGAAGGAGAGCACUCGCCUUGCAUGCGUGAGGCACUGGGUUCAAUCCUCAGCCUCA